rnacentral:rRNA from 1 species
CCUACGGGAGGCAGCAGUGAGGAAUAUUGGUCAAUGGGCGGGAGCCUGAACCAGCCAAGUCGCGUGAGGGAAGACGGUCCUACGGAUUGUAAACCUCUUUUGCCGGGGAGCAACGGGGUCCUUGCGAGGGCCCGAUGAGAGUACCCGGAGAAAAAGCAUCGGCUAACUCCGUGCCAGCAGCCGCGGUAAUACGGAGGAUGCGAGCGUUAUCCGGAUUUAUUGGGUUUAAAGGGUGCGUAGGCGGACAGUCAAGUCAGCGGUAAAAAUGCGGUGCUCAACGCCGUACAGCCGUUGAAACUGGCAGUCUUGAGUGGGCGAGAAGUAUGCGGAAUGCGUGGUGUAGCGGUGAAAUGCAUAGAUAUCACGCAGAACUCCGAUUGCGAAGGCAGCAUACCGGCGCCCGACUGACGCUGAGGCACGAAAGCGUGGGUAUCGAACAGGAUUAGAUACCCGUGUAGUC